GCAGAGACCAACCCUCGUACCUUUUGCAUCAUGAUUUAGCAAGUAAAGCCCAAGCAAAGCGACCUGUAGUUUGAGACCCCGAAACUAAGCGAGCUACUCCAAGACAGCCCAAUUGGGGCAAACCCGUCCCUGUGGCAAAAGGGUGGGAAGAGCUUUGAGUAGAGGCGAUAAACCUACCGAGCAUAGUUAUAGCUGGUUGUUUGAGAAAUGAAUAGAAGUUCAGCUCCCCGGCUUCCCAACAAACCAGAGAAGUUAAUUAAAGGAGGUACAGCUCCUUUUUAAUAGAAACACCUUUUACAGAUGGCCAAAGAUCAAAAUAAAUUAAGGAUUCCUAUUUUAGUGGGCCUAAAAGCAGCCACCUAAUUAUAAAGCGUUAAAGCUAGAAUAAAAUAUAAUGUUACUAAAUCUCCCACCUCUGUUAUUAUCAAACCAUCUCAUGCCUCCAUGAGAGUGAUAAUGCUAAAAUGAGUAAUAAGAAGCUAACUUCUCCUAAUACAUGUGUAUCUCGGAACGGAAAAUCCACCGAUUAUUAGCCGACCCCAACAAAAGAGGGAAGUGAAAUAAACUAGAAAACCUUUCAUCGUUAACCCAACACAGGAGUAUAAAUAAGGAAAGACAAAAAGAAAAAGAAGGAACUCGGCAAACAAGCCUCGCCUGUUUACCAAAAACAUCGCCUCUUGAAAAUAUAAGAGGUCCCGCCUGCCCUGUGACUUAAAGUUUAACGGCCGCGGUAUUUUGACCGUGCAAAGGUAGCGCAAUCACUUGUCUUUUAAAUGAAGACCUGUAUGAAUGGCAUCACGAGGGCUUAGCUGUCUCCUUUUUCAAGUCAAUGAAAUUGAUCUCCCCGUGCAGAAGCGGGGAUAAUAAUAUAAGACGAGAAGACCCUAUGGAGCUUUAGACCUAAUGCAGUCCACGAAUAAUACUUUUGAUGAAGAAAGAAAAGCUCAAUGGCUCCUGCACGCCUGUCUUUGGUUGGGGCGACCGCGGGGAAAAAUAAAACCCCCAUGAGGAUUGAGAGUUCUCCUAAAACCAAGAGCCACAGCUCUAAGUAACAGAAAUUCUGACCUAAAUGAUCCGGGAAACCGAUCAACGAACCGAGUUACCCUAGGGAUAACAGCGCAAUCCCCUUCCAGAGCCCAUAUCGACAAGGGGGUUUACGACCUCGAUGUUGGAUCAGGACAUCCUAAUGGUGCAG
rnacentral:rRNA from 1 species